UGAGUAACCUGCCCCCGACUCUGGGAUAACCCCGGGAAACCGGAGCUAAUACCGGAUACGACCCACACAGGCAUCUACGUGGGUGGAAAGAUUUAUCGGUCAGGGAUGGACUCGCGGCCUAUCAGCUUGUUGGUGAGGUAACGGCCCACCAAGGCGACGACGGGUAGCCGGCCUGAGAGGGCGACCGGCCACACUGGGACUGAGACACGGCCCAGACUCCUACGGGAAGCAG
rnacentral:rRNA from 1 species